rnacentral:rRNA from 1 species
UUAAGCGACUAAGCGUACACGGUGGAUGCCCUGGCAGUCAGAGGCGAUGAAGGACGUGCUAAUCUGCGAUAAGCGUCGGUAAGGUGAUAUGAACCGUUAUAACCGGCGAUUUCCGAAUGGGGAAACCCAGUGUGUUUCGACACACUAUCAUUAACUGAAUCCAUAGGUUAAUGAGGCGAACCGGGGGAACUGAAACAUCUAAGUACCCCGAGGAAAAGAAAUCAACCGAGAUUCCCCCAGUAGCGGCGAGCGAACGGGGAGGAGCCCAGAGCCUGAAUCAGUGUGUGUGUUAGUGGAAGCGUCUGGAAAGGCGCGCGAUACAGGGUGACAGCCCCGUACACAAAAAUGCACAUGCUGUGAGCUCGAUGAGUAGGGCGGGACACGUGGUAUCCUGUCUGAAUAUGGGGGGACCAUCCUCCAAGGCUAAAUACUCCUGACUGACCGAUAGUGAACCAGUACCGUGAGGGAAAGGCGAAAAGAACCCCGGCGAGGGGAGUGAAAAAGAACCUGAAACCGUGUACGUACAAGCAGUGGGAGCACGCUUAGGCGUGUGACUGCGUACCUUUUGUAUAAUGGGUCAGCGACUUAUAUUCUGUAGCAAGGUUAACCGAAUAGGGGAGCCGAAGGGAAACCGAGUCUUAACUGGGCGUUAAGUUGCAGGGUAUAGACCCGAAACCCGGUGAUCUAGCCAUGGGCAGGUUGAAGGUUGGGUAACACUAACUGGAGGACCGAACCGACUAAUGUUGAAAAAUUAGCGGAUGACUUGUGGCUGGGGGUGAAAGGCCAAUCAAACCGGGAGAUAGCUGGUUCUCCCCGAAAGCUAUUUAGGUAGCGCCUCGUGAAUUCAUCUCCGGGGGUAGAGCACUGUUUCGGCAAGGGGGUCAUCCCGACUUACCAACCCGAUGCAAACUGCGAAUACCGGAGAAUGUUAUCACGGGAGACACACGGCGGGUGCUAACGUCCGUCGUGAAGAGGGAAACAACCCAGACCGCCAGCUAAGGUCCCAAAGUCAUGGUUAAGUGGGAAACGAUGUGGGAAGGCCCAGACAGCCAGGAUGUUGGCUUAGAAGCAGCCAUCAUUUAAAGAAAGCGUAAUAGCUCACUGGUCGAGUCGGCCUGCGCGGAAGAUGUAACGGGGCUAAACCAUGCACCGAAGCUGCGGCAGCGACGCUUAUGCGUUGUUGGGUAGGGGAGCGUUCUGUAAGCCUGUGAAGGUGUACUGUGAGGUAUGCUGGAGGUAUCAGAAGUGCGAAUGCUGACAUAAGUAACGAUAAAGCGGGUGAAAAGCCCGCUCGCCGGAAGACCAAGGGUUCCUGUCCAACGUUAAUCGGGGCAGGGUGAGUCGACCCCUAAGGCGAGGCCGAAAGGCGUAGUCGAUGGGAAACAGGUUAAUAUUCCUGUACUUGGUGUUACUGCGAAGGGGGACGGAGAAGGCUAUGUUGGCCGGGCGACGGUUGUCCCGGUUUAAGCGUGUAGGCUGGUUUUCCAGGCAAAUCCGGAAAAUCAAGGCUGAGGCGUGAUGACGAGGCACUACGGUGCUGAAGCAACAAAUGCCCUGCUUCCAGGAAAAGCCUCUAAGCAUCAGGUAACAUCAAAUCGUACCCCAAACCGACACAGGUGGUCAGGUAGAGAAUACCAAGGCGCUUGAGAGAACUCGGGUGAAGGAACUAGGCAAAAUGGUGCCGUAACUUCGGGAGAAGGCACGCUGAUAUGUAGGUGAAGCGACUUGCUCGUGGAGCUGAAAUCAGUCGAAGAUACCAGCUGGCUGCAACUGUUUAUUAAAAACACAGCACUGUGCAAACACGAAAGUGGACGUAUACGGUGUGACGCCUGCCCGGUGCCGGAAGGUUAAUUGAUGGGGUCAGCGCAAGCGAAGCUCUUGAUCGAAGCCCCGGUAAACGGCGGCCGUAACUAUAACGGUCCUAAGGUAGCGAAAUUCCUUGUCGGGUAAGUUCCGACCUGCACGAAUGGCGUAAUGAUGGCCAGGCUGUCUCCACCCGAGACUCAGUGAAAUUGAACUCGCUGUGAAGAUGCAGUGUACCCGCGGCAAGACGGAAAGACCCCGUGAACCUUUACUAUAGCUUGACACUGAACAUUGAGCCUUGAUGUGUAGGAUAGGUGGGAGGCUUUGAAGUGUGGACGCCAGUCUGCAUGGAGCCGACCUUGAAAUACCACCCUUUAAUGUUUGAUGUUCUAACGUUGACCCGUAAUCCGGGUUGCGGACAGUGUCUGGUGGGUAGUUUGACUGGGGCGGUCUCCUCCUAAAGAGUAACGGAGGAGCACGAAGGUUGGCUAAUCCUGGUCGGACAUCAGGAGGUUAGUGCAAUGGCAUAAGCCAGCUUGACUGCGAGCGUGACGGCGCGAGCAGGUGCGAAAGCAGGUCAUAGUGAUCCGGUGGUUCUGAAUGGAAGGGCCAUCGCUCAACGGAUAAAAGGUACUCCGGGGAUAACAGGCUGAUACCGCCCAAGAGUUCAUAUCGACGGCGGUGUUUGGCACCUCGAUGUCGGCUCAUCACAUCCUGGGGCUGAAGUAGGUCCCAAGGGUAUGGCUGUUCGCCAUUUAAAGUGGUACGCGAGCUGGGUUUAGAACGUCGUGAGACAGUUCGGUCCCUAUCUGCCGUGGGCGCUGGAGAACUGAGGGGGCUGCUCCUAGUACGAGAGGACCGGAGUGGACGCAUCACUGGUGUUCGGGUUGUCAUGCCAAUGGCACUGCCCGGUAGCUAAAUGCGGAAGAGAUAAGUGCUGAAAGCAUCUAAGCACGAAACUUGCCCCGAGAUGAGUUCUCCCUGACUCCUUGAGAGUCCUGAAGGAACGUUGAAGACGACGACGUUGAUAGGCCGGGUGUGUAAGCGCAGCGAUGCGUUGAGCUAACCGGUACUAAUGAACCGUGAGGCUUAACCUU